rnacentral:rRNA from 1 species
GUCCACGCCGUAAACUAUGGAUACUAGCUGUUACCAGUAUCGACCCUGGUAGUAGCGAAGCUAACGCGUUAAGUAUCCCGCCUGUGGAGUACGGUCGCAAGACUAAAACAUAAAGGAAUUGACGGGGACCCGCACAAGCGGUGGAGCGUGUUGUUUAAUUCGAUGCUAAGCGAAGAACCUUACCCAGGCUUGACAUCCUUGGAAUUUUGCGAAAGCAGAAAGUGCCUUUUGGAACCAAGUGACAGGUGUUGCAUGGCCGUCGU